GACGAACGCUGGCGGCGUGCCUAAUACAUGCAAGUCGAACGAGAGCGACCGGUGCUUGCACUGGUCAAUCUAGUGGCUAACGGGUGAGUAACACGUUGGUAACCUGCCCAUCAGAGGGGGAUAACAUCCGGAAACGGACGCUAAAACCGCAUAGGUCUUCGAGCCGCACGGCUUGAAGACGAAAAGAGGCGCACGCUUCUGCUGACGGAUUGACCCGCGGUGCAUUAGCUAGUUGGUGAGGUAACGGCUCACCAAGGCCGGGAUGCAUAGCCGACCUGAGAGGGUGAUCGGCCACAUUGGGACUGAGACACGGCCCAAACUCCUACGGGAGGCAGCAGUAGGGAAUCUUCCGCAAUGGACGCAAGUCUGACGGAGCAACGCCGCGUGAGUGAAGAAGGUUUUCGGAUCGUAAAACUCUGUUGUUAGAGAAGAACAAGUGCUAGAGUAACUGUUAGCGCCUUGACGGUAUCUAACCAGAAAGCCACGGCUAACUACGUG
rnacentral:rRNA from 1 species